GCGCGGUUAGUGUAGUGGUUAACACGCUCGUUUCCCAAUACACAAGAUAACGAGUGACCCGGGUUCGAACCCCGGACUGCGCA